GUGGCGCAACGAUAGCGCGUUUGACUCUAGAUCAGAAAAUUGCGUGUUCAAAUCACGUC
rnacentral:tRNA from 1 species